rnacentral:rRNA from 1 species
AGAUUGAACGCUGGCGGCAUGCCUUACACAUGCAAGUCGAACGGCAGCGCGGGGCAACCUGGCGGCGAGUGGCGAACGGGUGAGUAAUAUAUCGGAACGUACCCUGGAGUGGGGGGAUAACGUAGCGAAAGUUACGCUAAUACCGCAUACGAUCUAAGGAUGAAAGUGGGGGAUCCGCAAGGACCUCAUGCUCGUGGAGCGGCCGAUAUCUGAUUAGCUAGUUGGCGGGUAAAAGCCCACCAAGGCAUCGAUCAGUAGCUGGUCUGAGAGGACGACCAGCCACACUGGAACUGAGACACGGUCCAGACUCCUACGGGAGGCAGCAGGUGGGGAAUUUUGGACAAUGGGCGAAAGCCUGAUCCAGCAAUGCCGCGUGAGUGAAGAAGGCCUUGGUUGUAAAGCUCUUUUGCGAGGAAGAACGUGUUUCUAAUACAGAUAGCUAAUGACGUACCU